rnacentral:rRNA from 1 species
GAUGAACGCUGGCGGCGUGCCUAAUACAUGCAAGUCGAGCGAAUGGAUUAAGAGCUUGCUCUUAUGAAGUUAGCGGCGGACGGGUGAGUAACACGUGGGUAACCUGCCCAUAAGACUGGGACAACUCCGGGAAACCGGGGCUAAUACCGGAUAACAUUUUGAACCGCAUGGUUCGAAAUUGAAAGGCGGCUUCGGCUGUAACUUAUGGAUGGACCUGCGUCGCAUGAGCUAGUUGGUGAGGUAACGGCUCACCAAGGCAACGAUGCGUAGCCGACCUGAGAGGGUGAUCGGCCACACUGGGACUGAGACACGGCCCAGACUCCUACGGGAGGCAGCAGUAGGGAAUCUUCCGCAAUGGACGAAAGUCUGACGGAGCAACGCCGCGUGAGUGAUGAAGGCUUUCGGGUCGUAAAACUCUGUAGUUAGGGAAGAACAAGUGCUAGUUGAAUAAGCAGGCACCUUGACGGUACCUAACCAGAAAGCCACGGCUAACUACGUGCCAGCAGCCGCCGUAA